ensembl:lncRNA
UUCAAUUGCACUAAAUUAACACUGAUGUGAAUGCGAUACGUAAGAAUUGUAAAAAUGAAAAACAAAAUGUUGCAAAAACAUUGUACAUCUUAAAUAGUUACAUAGUUUGUACUGCUUUUAAUUUUUGCUUACAAAUAGAUUUUAGCAAUACAUGUCAGUUUUAAAUUGUUCAAACAUCAGCAUUGUUUUCAAAGCUUUAAUAUUCAAUCAUGACCACAGCAUCCAGCAGAUGGCGACAAAUCCCCGAAUAUCUACGGCUGUGUUUGGAAGCGCAUCAUUCAUCACUCUUCACAGUAUAUAGACUUCAAUAGACACAUUUGUGUAGUAUGCAUGAAAUAUCCUAUCAGGAAUCCAGUACAUGUAAUCAUUUUCACCUAUAGCGACUACCCAAAACACCCUAGCAACCAGAGCAAAUAGCAUUACAGACAUGCAGCUGCAGGUCAAUCUGUGGAUCUAAUGGUGAGUGGACGAAAAGCAGGACAUCCCCUCGACUCACGCUGACCUUUGACCCCGCUGUGAUUAGGCUAAUACUGCUGAUAGUGGUCAACUCUCACUCAUUGAGAGCAUUCCUGCAGAUAAGAGCCCUGGCGCUCUUUGAACUUCCACUGAGCAGAACAGAGUUCAAACACACACACAGCCGUUGCAGAGAGAGCAGACGUCUGUCUGUGUGAACGCUCAGGAACACUGCUGGAAACUGUGCUGGAGUUAGUGAAUGAAGUUUCUGAAAAACCCUUCAGUAAAGCAGUGCAGGAUGUGUCUCACGGUCAGACGGCAGGCAGUGGAGAGGAGUGUGUGCUGCUGGAGCCUCUGUCUCUGGGACGAUGGUGUUUGCAGCUACAGCAGAAGUUCAUCUGUGUGAGAGCUUGACGAACACACACGUGUUUCAGUUGUGUUUUCUUGGUGUUGCUAGUGCAGACACUCAGAUAAGCCGCACUAUCAGUGAAAAAACCCUGCAGCUCCUCAUUGCAAAUGCAUGAAGGGGCGGGGUCACACAGGCUGAGGGCGGAGCCACUCUGUUAGGGCUCUAGUUGGGUCUCCUGCAGCGUUUAAAGCAGAACUGCAUUAGUGCUCUUAGUGUUCAACAAGUGUUGCAUGUGAGUGUCAGUAAGUAUUUCACUUCACUUUUUUAUUGGAAUUAUUUCCAGUGAUUGUGAAACUCUUUAGUCUCGUUUUUACUUUAGAUUUAAACUUAUGAAAUGCUUUGAAAGUUUGGUUUAUAUUCUUGCAUGAUAUAUGGCACAUAUUCAUCAUUCUAUUUUUUAAGGUAAUUAUAAUUAUGAUUCUUGUACUUACAGUACAUUGCAGAGGUUCAGUUCACUGUGACUUUCCAAAUCAAAAGAAAGAAAAAUAUAGUUUGCAUUAAAAAAUGAAGACUGUUUAUUCAUUUGUGUUUAUAUUCAUGUUCAGUUUAGAUUAAAACUAAUGAAAUAACUGGCAAUUAAAGUUUUGUUUAUACUCAUGUAUGGUAUAUGGUAUGGGCUCAUUAUUCUAUAUUUUUAUUUUACGUAAUAUUAUUAUGAUGCCUAUAUUUACAGUACAUAACAAAGGUCCAGUUAACUGUUAAAAUAUCAAAGUCAGAUUUCAUCCAUAAAUAAAAAUAGAGAAAAUACUAAAUUGUAGAUUUUU